GUCCCUUUACACUUGCUUGGUGGAGAUAACUCUUCCCUUCCAUUUAGAAGAAAACGUAGACAUUUGUGUGGCCCACUGCUGAGAAGUACUCUAGUAUCUUAGAUGCAGGUGAUGCUGUGUUCUUCAGUUCAUCACUUUCUCUGUCCUGUGGGCAUCUAGCCAUUUACCCUAGCUUCCAUUUGUUGAGGUCUGCAGUGGUCUGAGCAGCCACCCCCACAAGAUAUGUCUGAGUCUUAACCCUUGCUCUCCGUGAAAGUGACCUUCUUUGGAAAUAGGAUUUUUGCAGAUAUAAUUAAGAUAAAGAUCUCGAGAUGAAAUUACCCUGGAUUUAGAAGGAGCCCUAAAUUCAAUAAGUGUCCCUUAUGAGAGACAGAAAAAAAGAAGACACAGAGACACAAGGGGGAAGGACAUCAGAAGACAACAGCAGAGACUGGAGUGAUGCAUCAAGCAGCCAAGAAAUGCCAAGAAUUGCAGCAGCAAAUGGAAAAGAGGCAUGGGAUAAGUGCUUACUUCAGUGACUGCAGAAGGAUCCAACUCCGCCAACAUCCUGAUUUCAGACUUCUGGGCUCUACAACUAUGAAAGAAUACAUUUGAAUUGUC
rnacentral:lncRNA from 10 species